GUAACAGGAAGCAGCUUGCUGCUUCGCUGACGAGUGGCGGACGGGUGAGUAAUGUCUGGGAAACUGCCUGAUGGAGGGGGAUAACUACUGGAAACGGUGGCUAAUACCGCAUAACGUCGCAAGACCAAAGAGGGGGACCUUCGGGCCUCUUGCCAUCAGAUGUGCCCAGAUGGGAUUAGCUUGUUGGUGAGGUAACGGCUCACCAAGGCGACGAUCCCUAGCUGGUCUGAGAGGAUGACCAGCCACACUGGAACUGAGACACGGUCCAGACUCCUACGGGAGGCAGCAGUGGGGAAUAUUGCACAAUGGGCGCAAGCCUGAUGCAGCCAUGCCGCGUGUAUGAAGAAGGCCUUCGGGUUGUAAAGUACUU
rnacentral:rRNA from 3 species